AAUAGAUACCCAGGUAGUCCACGCCGUAAACGAUGAGUGCUAGGUGUUAGGGGGUUUCCACCCCUUAGUGCUGCAGCUAACGCAUUAAGCACUCCGCCUGGGGAGUACGGUCGCAAGACUGAAACUCAAAGGAAUUGACGGGGGCCCGCACAAGCGGUGGAGCAUGUGGUUUAAUUCGAAGCAACGCGAAGAACCUUACCAGGUCUUGACAUCCCGCUGACCGCCAUGGAGACAUGGCUUUCCCUUCGGGGACAGCGGUGACAGGUGGUGCAUGGUUGUCGUCAGCUCGUGUCGUGAGAUGUUGGGUUAAGUCCCGCAACGAGCGCAACCCUUGUCCUUAGUUGCCAUCAUUCAGUUGGGCACUCUAAGGAGACUGCCGUACAAAUACGGAGGAAGGUGGGGAUGACGUCAAAUCAUCAUGCCCCUUAUGACCUGGGCUACACACGUGCUACAAUGGGCAGUACAAAGGGCUGCGAACCCGCGAGGGGGAGCCAAUCCCAAAAAGCUGCUCUCAGUUCGGAUUGC
rnacentral:rRNA from 1 species